AAUAAAGCUCAAAUAUUCUCAAUUCAUUAAAAAAAUUAAAUUGGUAAGUGUUACAACAAAAAAAUCUUGCUUUAAGAGACACCUGGAAAGAGAAAAAUUAAGAUUAUUUUCCCUUUGUUGCAGUUAACUGUACUGGACCAUCUCGGCAGAGAAGAAUAAAAUGCAGUGUUGAAGUUAUCGUUGCAGAUUUUGACAUUGAUUGGAUGUACUGGAUCAUCUCUGCUGCUCAGAAGAAACAAACUGCUUGUCUAUGCAGUGCGGGUGUAUUACAAAUGUUUGUGAAAAAGUGGUGUCUGUAGAUAUUUAGGAGAGCAUACCAUGAAAAGCCUUCCCUUUUCCCUUUAGUGUUUUUGUCUUUUUUUACUAGGAUGCCUCUAAUGGGCAAGUAGACAUAAUCUUUGAGAAAUAAUGAUCUAUUUUAAGGGAACAGAUUCUAAGAUAUAACAUAUAAUGAACCUUAG